CCUACGGGUGGCAGCAGUGAGGAAUAUUGGUCAAUGGGAGAGAUCCUGAACCAGCAAAGCCGCGUGAGGGAAGACGGCCCUAUGGGUUGUAAACCUCUUUUGUCGGAGAACAAAACCCGGGGCGUGUCCCGGACUGCGUGUACCCGAAGAAAAAGCAUCGGCAAACACCGUGCCAGCAGCCGCGGUAAGACGGAGGAUGCGAGCGUGAUACGGAUUGGUUGGGUUUAAAGGGUGCGUAGGCGGGCCGUUAAGUCAGCGGUAAAAUUGCGGGGCUCAACCCCGUCGAGCCGUUGAAACUGGCAGACUUGAGUUGGCGAGAGGUACGCGGAAUGCGCGGUGUAGCGGUGAAAUGCAUAGAUAUCGCGCAGAACUCCGAUUGCGAAGGCAGCGUACUGGCGCCAGACUGACGCUGAGGCACGAAAGCGUGGGGAUCGAACAGGAUUAGAUACCCGUGUAGUC
rnacentral:rRNA from 1 species